AACGAACGCUGGCGGCAUGCCUAACACAUGCAAGUCGAACGAGAUCUUCGGAUCUAGUGGCGCACGGGUGCGUAACGCGUGGGAAUCUGCCCUUGGGUUCGGAAUAACUCAGAGAAAUUUGAGCUAAUACCGGAUGAUGUCGAAAGACCAAAGAUUUAUCGCCCAGGGAUGAGCCCGCGUAGGAUUAGCUAGUUGGUGGGGUAAAGGCCUACCAAGGCGACGAUCCUUAGCUGGUCUGAGAGGAUGAUCAGCCACACUGGGACUGAGACACGGCCCAGACUCCUACGGGAGGAAGCAGUGGGGAAUAUUGGACAAUGGGCGAAAGCCUGAUCCAGCAAUGCCGCGUGAGUGAUGAAGGCCUUAGGGUUGUAAAGCUCUUUUACCCGGGAUGAUAAUGACAGUACCGGGAGAAUAAGCCCCGGCUAACUCCGUG
rnacentral:rRNA from 1 species